UGGGGAAUUUUGGACAAUGGGCGAAAGCCUGAUCCAGCAAUGCCGCGUGUGUGAAGAAGGCCUUCGGGUUGUAAAGCACUUUUGUCCGGAAAGAAAUCCUUGGCUCUAAUACAGUCGGGGGAUGACGGUACCGGAAGAAUAAGCACCGGCUAACUACGUGCCAGCAGCCGCGGUAAUACNUAGGGUGCAAGCGUUAAUCGGAAUUACUGGGCGUAAAGCGUGCGCAGGCGGUUUGCUAAGACCGAUGUGAAAUCCCCGGGCUCAACCUGGGAACUGCAUUGGUGACUGGCAGGCUAGAGUAUGGCAGAGGGGGGUAGAAUUCCACGUGUANCAGUGAAAUGCGUAGAGAUGUGGAGGAAUACCGAUGGCGAAGGCAGCCCCCUGGGCCAAUACUGACGCUCAUGCACGAAAAGCGUGGGGAGCAAACAGGAUUAGAUACCCUGGUAGUCCACGCCCUAAACGAUGUCAACUAGUUGUUGGGGAUUCAUUUCCUUAGUAACGUAGCUAACGCGUGAAGUUGACCGCCUGGGGA
rnacentral:rRNA from 1 species